rnacentral:lncRNA from 1 species
AUAAGAAAAAAAGGGAAAAAAAGGAAAUGAAAGAAAGAAAAAAGAAAAGAAGGAAAAAAUAGAAAAGUAAAGCUCAAACCAAUGGGAGAAAGUGGGUUCUGGUUUCCUGGGUAGAGACAAGGCUGCCCUGGUCCUGGGGAGGCCACCCUGGCUAGUGAGGAGUGGUGAUUUUUUUUUCUCAUGCUUGUCACAUCAAAAUGGUCUUCAAUGUGAGCUUUAGAAGUUACACUUUCCUGCUUUAUUUCCCAGUAGACUACAGAAAGAGAUUUCACAUUUUGUCAUUCAAAAAAUGAAGACCCUCCCUCCAAAUAUUUUUUUUAUAAUCUUGUUUCUUUGGGUUAUGACCCAAUAAGUACUAUUAAUGUAAUUAAUUUAUUUAAAUUAGUUUCUAGUACAUAAGUAUAUAGAUUUGGAGUUAUUAUUUAAUCAUCCUUCCUUAGUAAAAUUUUACUUCUUGUACUUAUUUAUCAAAAUAUAGACCAGUGGUGCAUCAGAGAUGCAAAAUCUUACUUAGAAUAUUCUCAAAGUUUAGUUUGCUUUAUAAAGCAGUGAAAUUCUGUUACAGACAGGAAAGAAAUAUAGGUUACGAAAAAAAAUUGGGGGGUAUUUUUUCCUUCUUGAAUUACUUUUAAAAUAGUUUAAGUAAUGAUUAUUAAAUUAUUUAAUUUAAGUUCACAGCCCCACCUGGUACCAGGCGAUCUUCACCUCUUAAUUAUUGGGGCCCUCAGAGCCUUCAUAUUGUAACUUAUUUAUUUAACUUAUUCAGCAUCUGAGACAGAUGCACUGUAUAGUUUAUAUUUUUUAUUUAAAACAACAGAGAGCACUGCAGUUUGUUUGCUGUCAGAACAACAGAGCAAAUUUUGUGGACAAGCAAUGACUAUUCAACCUGAACCUGUACAUUCAGAAACAUAAGCUGAGACCCUGCUUCACCAGCCUGGAUUUCGGGGCUUCUAUAUGGAAACUGGAAAAAUAAGUUAAAAAAACCAUAGACAAAAAAAAAAGAGAGAGAGAAACCCUUACACUAGCUGCUUCCAAGAAUGAACUAUGUGUGUGUGUAAAGCAACAAAAGAGGGGGAAAAAAGCAGAAAAAAGAAAAAAAAGGAAAAAACUUUCUAUUUCUAGUGAGAACCAAAGAAGGCUACCUCACUGACUUUUUCCAUUUGUAAUUUUAAUCGUGUUGAUGACACUAAAGAUACCAAAGAUUUCUUUCUCUGUGCGGUCUGCAUUUUGCUUGUGCUCUUUUAUAAUUUGAACUAUUCUCUGACGUAUGGUAUGUACAGCCACAGCUCAGAUACCCCAAAGAAAUAAUUAUCUAUGUGAUGGCGGCUGCUGAUUUAAAAAGGGAUAUUUUCUGUGUUUCUCUCAUUUGUUUGCCAUCCCCUCCAUGUGGUCAGGAGGCAAAUAUGGAUGCUGCUGUAAUUGUAUUCCUUAAAUUCCAAUUCCAAAUUGGUGAAGAAGACUGGUUGGAGAUGGCCUUCAGUCCUAGCCAUGACCUCUCCCUCUCUCUGCUUGGAGUUAUCACAGCAAAGAUUUCCAAUUACGAGACCUUAGAAAGUCUAGCCAUUGGGUAGCAGAGCUGGAAGGGACCUCAGGAUUCAGUUAGUACAGCCCCUUGUGGUCUAGAGAAGUGACACAGUUAUCCAAGUCAAAUAACUGCAGGGCCAAAGGCCACCACAGCAUCCUGCUCGGCCCCAGUGCUCCAUUGUGUGGUGCCACCUCUGCGUGACACUGGGUACAUGUAGGCAAAUAGGAAAGUGGCGAUCCUUUAGCAAUGAGCAGGGACUGGGGCUUAUCACUUAACACUUUCAUUUUGUGAGAAUAAUCACAGGCACGUUCAGUACCUACCUAGUUACACUGCCACAGUCACAUAUGAUCAGUUGCCCAGUACGAUGGCCAGCCUUGAAAUAUUAGGGCUCAUGCAGGGGUUUCUGCCCUGGGAAAUACAUAUUGAUCCAAAGAAUGUGAUUGCUUUGCAAUCUCCCCAUUCCAAAGUGUUGUAAUUAAGCUUUUAAUUCACUGGGAGGAGAAGUUUCGUUCUUGGCCCAAUGAGUUUAAUUACUAUGGACAUUUUUAAGUCAGUAUUUACCAAGAAAGGGAACUUGAUUGCCAUUUCCAUGUCUGACAUUUCUGAUGUCAGUUCUUUUCCUUCUCCUUUACACUUACAGGGUUUACAUUUCAUUUCUAAGCCACUCUGGAGAAGAAAAAUUAAAACCGAACAUUAUUAGAUGCCGGUUAUUCAUUAUGAGAGACCCCAAAAUUUUCAAAGGAAUUGAUAUGCUAGUUUAAGAAAUGGUCUAAGUUUCUUCUCUCUUUUCCUUAGUCCUGAAAUUAAUUGGUCUUCUUGAAGUUUCUUUAAAUUCCAUUAAAUGAUAAAUCACUGCUAAGAUCAUUCAUCAAAGUGAUUGGUAUGUUAGCCAAUGAAUCUUCUUCAGCUUCUGACCAAAUGGGUUUGAGACACAGAUAACCACCUCUAAUCUAUACAGUUCUUCAUUGAAUACUAGUAUUUUCCACUUCACCUAAUAUAGUAACCUUUGAGGUUUUUCUUAAGAGACCAUUUAGACAAUAAAGGUAAUAAAGGAGAGAACCAAUGAGUUCAUCAGUUCUACACAUCAGCAGAGUGUGUAGUAGAGGCAUUGAGAAAAUAGACUGACCAGCUAAGAAGCAUUCAGUGUCUGAGGUUUCCAUGCACCAUCCUGACACAUGUGAAAGCUCCUUCCUGUCCCAUUGAGCUCAAAGUUCCAGAUUCUCCCUUCAUGAGGCAGACCUGUAAGGCCUUCCUUCCAAGCAGUAAAUUGCUUUGGUUUUCUUCCCAAAUUCAUAUUAGAAGUAGAAUUCUCAGAGUACCUGGGAGACAACAAAGAUGGCCUAAGCCAUUAAGCAUCAGAGUGUUGCCCCUUAGGCAGACACAACCUUCCUCAGCCUUCCUACCACCAAGUCCCACAAGUGAGAACCUAGAGAGCAAUGGCAGCCUGAACACAGAAAACAUCCCCAAGGGGCAGACCCCGCCUCAGCAACCCCCCCUCAGCCUCAUGCUUCACUUGCAAAGUGUGACAUAACCACGGGACGAGUGCCUUGCUUGAACCAAAGCAACGAUUUAGCCAGUCUGGACCUCUCUGUGCUUUUUUUAAUCCUUCCUGUGAAUACCUCAGCUUCAACUGGGCCUCCAUACAGUAAAUUGGUGGGCUUAUUGUACUGUGGUGCUUUGCAAUGCAACCCUGCAAAGAACAAGUUUGUACUAAUACCAAAGGUUCUUUAUGUCUCCUCCUCCUGCCUCCCAUUCUUCCCCUUUUCUAGUUCUUCACGGUUCCAAAGCUUUAAUAUGAACCUGGGCAUGUUGGCAAUGCAGACCGCGCAAUUCCUUACCGAAUUUUCUCAGAUAUACCUCAUAGAUAAUAGUGUUUAGAGUAAUGUUAUUAUAGCGUAUGUAAUAAAUUAUUCACUGUUUCUUUUUGGUAACUGUAAUUUAAAAAAAGAAAAAAGAAAAAAAAGCUUUAUACGUUUUAGGUUGUGCUUUUGUAAUAGAUGAAAAGGUGCGCUUAAAAAGAAAAAUGUAUGUUCUUUUUUUUUUCCCCUUUGGAUUUUAUUUAUUCUGGAUUGGGGAAAGUUGCAGAAUGAGCCCAAAGUUUACAGUUUCAUAUUUUGCUGAAGAAACAAUCUGUGUUCAUUUGCUCUGUUGAAAAAAAUAAUAAUUAUUUUCUACAUUUGUGGUACUUGGUCUGAACAAUUAAUUGUUCUGUGUUAACAGUGUAGUAUUAUAAUUAGCAACUGCCAAUCAGUGCUAUAAUUUUAUGCAUGAGGCUAAAAAUUUAGCGAUGUGAUGCAUUGUGGUCUUAAUAGCAACAUUUUUCAUUUUGAACUAGAUCUUCCUCUUUGGUUCAAUGGACAUUAUUUAUGCAUGGGCGCCUAUCGUUUGUUAGCAGUUGUGGAACAGUUGUGUAUACAUUAAACUGUGAAAAUGUACACAGUUCAGCCUCAGACAGUGGUAAUCUUGGUUUUACUGGAAGAUGUCUCACCUCAAAAAUAUCUUUACACCUGUUGGGAUUUCAAAACAAGUCAGAUUGAAUUGGGUUCAAAUUUUAUCAUGAGAAAAGUCACUUCAAGUUUGUUAGCCAACUUGCAUUUCACCAACUGGGAUCCUCAUAACCCAGAUGUAGCACUAUAUCUGAGAGGGGUUUGAAAAUAAGCAUCAAAAAGCAACUCACCUCUGCAUUUUUAAUUUCCACUCAACUGAGUUCUUUUGGCUUUAUGUUCAUGACUUCAGACCUAAGUGGCUAUGUAUAUGGGACGCUAAUUCAUCCAGCUCCAGCUCUUUCGUCUCUGGGAAUGGCUAUUUUUCGACUAUGUGUGGUUUCCUCCAGUAUUUUGAUGUCAGGUCAGUUCCUAGUAGAAACUCAAAGGGCAUCAAUAUCAAUAAUUCUCUGACUUUUUUAUCCCCUCCCCUGGAUAUUCCCAUCAACAUUUUCAUAGUGAUUCGGGCAAAAAUAUAUGGCCAUUCCCCAGAACUUCAUCUGUAUGGUUAUGUCAUUGUUUUUCCUUCCCAUAGCCAGAUUGACUUGCUCCGAAAUGCUACACCUAUCUUCUAAAGGGGAGUAUAAGAAAAGAGUUUGAAGCCCAGUUUAGGAAAACCAUCUUGUUUUAAAUUCCCCAAUUAUCUCAGAGUAGUUUUCAGCUGCUGUGGAUUGAGCAAACUAAUUCUUAUAUUUGGGUUCUGAGCUCCAUCCUCAAGUUUCAGACCUAUUUUCCAAACCAGUAUGCUUGACAUAAAGCCAAAUCAACUGCCAAGCACACUUUGUUUUGCAUAGGAGAGUGCAGAUUGGAAACACAGCAGUGUGCAAUGCAAAAUGUUAGAAAUCACCGACAGUCGAGCAUUCACAUUAUCUGUCAAUGAGAACGUGUUACAAAUGUGCUUUCAUUAAUAAUACAGAGAAACAUUUUCAUUUGGCCUUAUAAAGUAGGUUGUGAUAAUGAAAGCUUUGUAAUAUAGUCUUUUUAUUUUUCCUUUUAUUAAUCUGCCAAAGAUGGGAAUGGAUACAAGAAUUUUAAAAUGGGCUUUUGUAAGACAGUUGAUGAUUGUAAUAGUGUUUAAUCUUCUAGAAAGCUUUGUAUGUUCUUCUGCAAUAAAUCAAAUCGAUAUUUGUUUCAGUAAAUUCUCCUCACAACCCACAAACUGUUCCUCUUGAUGCAGAUAUUGUAGCGUCUAUAAAGUUCAAAUGCAUUUUCCAUCCAAAGAAAACAGAGGGGUGUCUGAGACAUGAGUGUGUCCAACCCUUUUUAUUACAGACAACACAGGGGUCUGGCUCACUAGGAUUUGCCAAGAAGUCUUGUCUUAUGAAAUUUGAGGUAUAUUUUGUUUGCCACUUACGUCCUUUUUUUUUUUAAACUUUGUGGAAAGUGAUGUUGAAUCAAGUGUAAGCUGAGUUUUACAGACAUCUGAAGUAGCUACAUUGUGAAUGUUAUUUUGUUAUUAAAGGGUUUUUACUCAAUACUUUGUGCCAAUGGAUGUCCUUUUCCUUGGAGACACAGAACUACGGAAUCACCAGCUUGGCUUGGUUUUAUCUCCUGCCCUCCUGGAGAAACAGGGGCCUGACCUAGGAAGUAAAUGGAAGGUCUGGGCUAGAAGGUAGGUUUGGGACAUUAGAAAGAGAUCUCCAUGUCUGUCAGCUUUAAAGAGAGCUGGGUCCAAACUCUAGCCUCACUAUCUUUACACCCUGACACUGUCUGAGAUCUCUUGGGCACAUACCAGCAUGAAGGCAGACCCCAUUCACGUAGGAAUGGAAACGAAGAGAAAAUGGCAACCUCGAAUCUUCUGGGAGCCAGUGGGUACUCACCAGUCACGGCUGCGGUGGCCUACCUGGUUGACUUCAACUGGGCUAGCACUGAAGGCCUUUCUUCCAUCUUGACUACUGCAGAGGGUCCAGGUCCACUCAUUGAGUGGGGCUCCUCCAAAUCAGAAACCCCUCCCCACCUAUCCUCUGCAAUCCACUUAGCUAUCCCAUCUAAAACUUUUGGAGAUACUAUUUGAAAAUCCAAGCCAGGUUGGAAUCAGGUUUUCUAAUAUUUUGUUUCUAAGUUGUAUUUUAACUUCCCAAUUCUUUCAUCUGUAAGAGGGAAAAGAAGACCCUUCUGUCUCUCUGUGCCUUGCUCCCAUCUCAGGGCAGACACGCACGUUGCCCAGGCUGUUACUCAAUACUUUGUGGACAAGUAUUGAGGGACAAGCUGUAACAUAGCUAUGGAGCCAAUCAAGAGCACAGCCCAUCCAAACCUACUUUAUCUCUACUUGAACAUCCUAUUUAAAAAGUUGUUGAGCCAGGUACAGUGGCGCUUGCCUAUAAUCCCAGCAGCUCCAGAGGCUGAGGCAGGAGGAUUGUGAUUCAAAGCCAGGCUCAGCAAUUUAGUGAAACCCUAAAUGACUCAGCAAGACCCUGGCUCUAAAUAAAAUAUGAAAAAGGGCUGGGGAUGUGGCUCAGUGAUUAAGCACUUCUGGGUUCAAUCCCCAUUACAAAAAAAAAAAAAGUUGUAGAACUUAGGUUUUUUUUCCCCAUACUUCUGACUUUAGCUCAGUUUGGCAUUUAGCUCAAAAGCCAUCUUACAAUCCAGAAAAGUUCCCCCUUCUCUUGCCCCAAGUAUGUCAAGGAGCCUGCCACCUGAGAUAAAAAGUUAAGUCCCAAACAAAACCUAUCUAGCUACCAGGUAGGUAGUCAUAUCACUAACAGAUACUGCGGGAAGGAAAAAUAUGAUCUUCUUUCUUUAGUGUGUUAUUUUUUUUGUACUACACAAGCCCAAAUGGUGCCAGUUAAGUCUUCACCACAAAAUGUUUUAAAACACCCACAACAUUAGAAUUUCUGAAACAAUAAUUCAAGCUUCACACUUGACCAAUUGAUAAAAGAAUUACUAAAGUUUGAACUGAAAAUGGUACAGGCAUUAAACUGGUUUUGGUUUCUUUUUGAAUCCCUAUCUCCAAUCACCAAAUUUUUUCCCCCUUAGUCCAAGAAUGGUUCAGUCUUUUCUCCACAAAUCUUAGAUGCCACAAAAUUUCAUGGAUGAGGAUAAUUAGGAAUUGACCAACAUUCUAAUUAAUUCUCUUCAUCAUCCUUUGCUUUUCUUAAAGAAGGUGUUUCCCUGAACUGCAGAGAAAGAGCCCAACUAAUAUCUUUUUAUUCUUCCUAUUCAAAUAUUUCCACCCAGAUCAAUACUUUGUUAGCAUAGGUACUACAGAUUCUUGGUCAGUGAAUUCUCCCAAGAGAAAUUAUCCUCCCACCAAAGUGGGUAAAAAUAAGUACCAAUAUCUUUUCUCCACCUAGUUUUGUUCUCACAAUCCAAGUCAGUCUUGGCAGUUUCUUCAUAUUAGGCCUGGUUGGAGAUUUUUUUUGGGGGGGAGGUAUUCAAAACACCAUUUCACGUGCUGGUUUAUGGGGUUUAGAUCCUUUCUUCCAAUCUGUUGGUUAUUUUGUGGUAUUUAAAGGUGACUGUGAUGAGAGAAGGGACAAGGUAAAGAGAGAAGAAUUUGCCCCAGCUCUGUUUAAAGUUUUAAAAUGGAAAAGAGACCCACCUAAGCCAUAGGGAAAUGUGGGCAUCUCUGUCAAUGACCACACUCUUCCACCUGCCUUCUAAGUGGCUGGCUAUUCCAGAAAUCCAGUUCUUCAGUAGGAACCCAACUACCUGUGAUAGGACUCACACCCAAUUGAAGGAAGACAAGAGAUUACAAAGUCACAUGCACACCUUUUGUUCUGUUUCUUUGCUUUUCCAGAUAUUAUCUCCAAUAUUAAAAUCACAGGAGAAAGUGUGAAACUGUUACUUUUAGUCAAGCCCUUUGACAUUACCUCCCAUGUUUAAAGCCAGGAACACACACUCCCUCCUAUUUUGAAAAAGGAAACCUAAACACUGAUCCACAUUCUUAUUUCCUUUUCACCCUGAGCUAUAUUCCCCAAAACCAUCAUAGUGCAGAUUUUGCUCCAUCUCAGACAGGUAGAGUCAGAAUGUGCUGAAAGAUUUUCCAGGGAUGGUCAACAGGGUAUAUGUUCAGUGGCUGCCCUGAAGUCCUAGUGGGGAUGAGGAUCAUACUUCAUUAUCAAGGGAAUGCUCACCCUUGAUGAGGUCCCAGUCCUCUGGAAGAUUUCCUUGAAUGUUAACUGCAUUUUCCAGUUUGCUCAUUUCGUACCCUGAUGCUUCGUGUGUAACAUUGCUUACACUGGAUUCUAUUUUUAUUCCUAUCAUUAAAUGGUAGUGCUGUAAAUUCUGCAAUUAAUGUCAAAUAAACUGCUUUAAUU